AGGAGCUCCUGCCAUGGGGAGCCACCCAGGGCUGGCCAUUCCCUGUCUACAGGAACAAGGAGACUCAGGGAACUUGCAAGGAAUUGAUGAACAGUGUUUUACAGAGCCAGAAGUCUCGGGCACAAUGGUGAUCACCCAAGAUUUUUCUCUGGAGGAAAGCAGGAGGAUAGAAGCAGUGAGGAGCUCUACAUGACAGCUACAGCACUAAACAGAGCUCCAGUCUCCUGGAUGCAGUUGGGAGCCAGUGACACAUAGCAGAAACCAGCCAGAACUGAGUCUUCCUGGUGGGGCCACCACCUUCAGCCCACCUGAGCACUGUUUGUUGUGGGAAUCUUUCCCUGAGCUGCUGCUACUGUUGUUGCUGUUGUUGUUAUCAUCAUCAAACAUAUCCAUAGGAGUAUGCACUCCCCUGUUCUGGUAGUACUACCAGCUGUCUCUCUCAGGAUCUCCCAUGACAAAUCCACGCUGUACCACCCACCUGUCUUUCCACAGAUGCCAUGACAUGAUCUGCCUGCAGAUUUCAUGCUUUCUUCACAUAGCAACAAAUGCACCCAAAUCUGUUAAGCCAAACUUCCUGGAAACUCCCCUUGAAUCCCUGGGUGAUAUUCUCAAGCUUCAGCCACAUGUUUCCAACAAGAGUUAGAGACCAGAUUAUAGCUACAACCCACUGAGUAACCUCACAUAUGCUGGCAAGUGACAGGAGGCCUAACAGCAGACAGUUAUUUCCUGUUAUCAUUCCCCAAAGUCCUGCUUUUCUACUCAUAGUUGGAGCAGGUCUAUGAGUGGCAGUACAGGAGUGUAUGACAGGUGCAUGAGCUAGUGAAAACUAUAACCUUUAAACUUCAAAACACACUUGGCAUCUAUUAUCCUUGAGGGAGAGAAAAGGA